AUUCCAGCUCCAAUAGCGUAUAUUAAAGUUGUUGCGGUUAAAAAGCUCGUAGUUGGAUUUCUGCCGAGGAUGACCGGUCCGCCCUGUGGGUGUGCAUCUGGCUCAGCCUUGGCAUCUUCCUGAAGAACGUAGCUGCACUUGACUGUGUGGUGCGGUAUUUAGGACAUUUACUUUGAGGAAAUUAGAGUGUUUCAAGCAAGCGCACGCUUUGAAUACAUUAGCAUGGAAUAAUAAGAUAGGACCUCGGUUCUGUUUUGUUGGUUUCUAGAGCUGAGGUAAUGAUUGAUAGGGAUAGUUGGGGGUAUUCAUAUUUACAUGUCAGAGGUGAAAUUCUUGGAUUUUGGAAAGAUGAACUACUGCGAAGGCAUUUACCAAGGAUGUUUUCAUCG
rnacentral:rRNA from 1 species